rnacentral:rRNA from 1 species
AGCGAGCGCUGGCGGCAGGCUUAACACAUGCAAGUCGAACGCCCCGCAAGGGGAGUGGCAGACGGGUGAGUAACACGUGGGAACGUACCCUUUGGUUCGGAAUAACUUGGGGAAACUCAAGCUAAUACCGGAUAAGCCCGUAUGGGGAAAGGUUUACUGCCGAAGGAUCGGCCAGCGUCUGAUUAGCUAGUUGGUGAGGUAAUGGCUCACCAAGGCGACGAUCAGUAGCUGGUCUGAGAGGAUGAUCAGCCACACUGGGACUGAGACACGGCCCAGACUCCUACGGGAGGCAGCAGUGGGGAAUAUUGGACAAUGGGGGCAACCCUGAUCCAGCCAUGCCGCGUGAGUGAUGAAGGCCUUAGGGUUGUAAAGCUCUUUUACCCGGGACGAUAAUGACUGUACCGGGAGAAUAAGCCCCGGCUAACUUCGUGCCAGCCGCCGCCGUAA